rnacentral:rRNA from 1 species
CUCCGGUUGAUCCUGCCGGACCCGACUGCUAUCAGAGUGGGACUAAGCCAUGCGAGUCAACAUAGCAAUAUGUGGCAUACGGCUCAGUAACACGUAGUCAACAUGCCCAGGGGACGUGGAUAACCUCGGGAAACUGAGGAUAAACCGCGAUAGGUCAUCACUUCUGGAAUGGGUAAUGACUUAAAUCUAUAUGGCCCCUGGAUUGGACUGCGGCCGAUCAGGCUGUUGGUGAGGUAAUGGCCCACCAAACCUGUAACCGGUACGGGCUCUGAGAGGAGGAGCCCGGAGAUGGGCACUGAGACAAGGGCCCAGGCCCUAUGGGGCGCAGCAGGCGCGAAACCUCUGCAAUAGGCGAAAGCUUGACAGGGUUACUCUGAGUGAUUUCCGUUAAGGAGAUCUUUUGGCACCUCUAAAAAUGGUGCAGAAUAAGGGGUGGGCAAGUCUGGUGUCAGCCGCCGCGGUAAUACCAGCACCCCGAGUGGUCGGGACGUUUAUUGGGCCUAAAGCAUCCGUAGCCGGUUCUGCAAGUCUUCCGUUAAAUCCACCUGCUUAACAGAUGGGCUGCGGAAGAUACUAUAGAGCUAGGAGGCGGGAGAGGCAAGCGGUACUCGAUGGGUAGGGGUAAAAUCCGUUGAUCCAUUGAAGACCACCAGUGGCGAAGGCGGCUUGCCAGAACGCGCUCGACGGUGAGGGAUGAAAGCUGGGGGAGCAAACCGGAUUAGAUACCCGGGUAGUCCCAGCUGUAAACGAUGCAGACUCGGUGAUGAGUUGGCUUAUUGCUAACUCAGUGCCGCAGGGAAGCCGUUAAGUUUGCCGCCUGGGGAGUACGGUCGCAAGACUGAAACUUAAAGGAAUGGGCGGGGGAGCA